UACGGAGGGUGCGAGCGUUAAUCGGAAUAACUGGGCGUAAAGGGCGCGCAGGCGGGCUUUUGAGUGAGAUGUGAAAUCCCCGGGCUUAACCUGGGAAUAGCAUUUGAGACUGGGGGGCUGGAGUACUUUAGGGGGUGGUAGAAGUCCACGUGUAGAGGUGAAAUGCGUAGAUAUGGGGAGGAAUACCGAUGGCGAAGGCAGCCACCUGGGAAUGUACUGACGCUCAUGUGCGAAAGCGUGGGGAGCAAACAGG
rnacentral:rRNA from 1 species